AAUGAAUUACGAAAUUGGCUUAGGGAUCGAUGAAGAAAGCAGCUAGCUGCGAAAAAUAGUGCGAAUUGCAGGCACAUUGAGACCACUCAAAUUUCGAUCGCAUAUAUUUAAAUUUAUCCCAUAUUUCAGCUUAU
rnacentral:rRNA from 1 species